UGGGGAAUAUUGCACAAUGGGCGGAAGCCUGAUGCAGCGACGCCGCGUGGGGGAUGAAGGCCUUCGGGUUGUAAACUCCUUUCGACAGGGACGAAGCUUUUGUGACGGUACCUGUAUAAGAAGCACCGGCUAACUACGUGCCAGCAGCCGCGGUAAUACGUAGGGUGCGAGCGUUGUCCGGAAUUACUGGGCGUAAAGAGCUCGUAGGUGGUUUGUCGCGUCGUCUGUGAAAUUCCGGGGCUUAACUCCGGGCGUGCAGGCGAUACGGGCUGACUUGAGUGCUGUAGGGGAGACUGGAAUUCCUGGUGUAGCGGUGAAAUGCGCAGAUAUCAGGAGGAACACCGAUGGCGAAGGCAGGUCUCUGGGCAGUAACUGACGCUGAGGAGCGAAAGCAUGGGUAGCGAACAGGAUUAGAUACCCUGGUAGUCCAUGCCGUAAACGGUGGGCGCUAGGUGUAGGGGGCUUCCACGUCUUCUGUGCCGUAGCUAACGCAUUAAGCGCCCCGCCUGGGGAAUACGGCCGCAAGGCUA
rnacentral:rRNA from 1 species